GAUGAACGCUGGCGGCGUGCCUAAUACAUGCAAGUCGAGCGAACAGACGAGAGUGCUUGCACUCUCUGACGUUAGCGGCGGACGGGUGAGUAACACGUGGGUAACCUACCUAUAAGACUGGGAUAACUUCGGGAAACCGGAGCUAAUACCGGAUAAUAUUUAGCUUCGCAUGAAGCAAUAGUGAAAGACGGUUCUGCUGUCACUUAUAGAUGGACCCGCGGUGUAUUAGCUAGUUGGUGAGGUAACGGCUCACCAAGGCAACGAUACAUAGCCGACCUGAGAGGGUGAGCGGCCACACUGGGACUGAGACACGGCCCAGACUCCUACGGGAGGCAGCAGUAGGGAAUCUUCCGCAAAGGACGAAAGUCUGACGGAGCAAUGCCGCGUGAGUGAAGAAGGUUUUCGGAUCGUAAAACUCUGUUGUAAGGGAAGAACAAGUACGUUAGUAACUGAACGUACCUUGACGGUACCUUACCAGAAAGCCACGGCUAACUACGUG
rnacentral:rRNA from 1 species